GAAGGGAGGAAGCAGUUACAUAGAGAAGAGCCAUGUUGAGACCUGGUCUGGCCGUCUCAGAGGAGCCGUAUGCUCUGGAAAAUUGAUGCACCUGACUCUGCCGCCAACCCUUCGCAAUCCAGAAGGGAGGGAUCAUAGAGACAGACACCUUGAUUGCAUUUUCCUUACAACCUCUGGUCUCCCGCCAGGGUCUCCAAUUGGCUGAAUCCUCCUGGUAGCUGGUGGGCAAGGGAGCCUACUGAUGCGGUCUACAGAGAGUCAAAGAUCUCCUGUGACCAGAAAUGGUCUCUCCGGCCACUGACUCUACUGUCCCUCUUAGUUGCUGUGCCUUGUAACGAGUUUUUGUCCCACUCUCCAUGGUUCUACAACAGGACCCGUUCAACUUUAGAGACCAGACAUCACUG
ensembl:lncRNA